rnacentral:rRNA from 1 species
CAGUCGCCGCGGGAAUACGUAGGUGACAAGCGUUGUCCGGAAUUAUUGGGCGUAAAGGGAGCGCAGGCGGUUGGAAUAGUCUGAUGUGAAAGCCCACGGCUUAACCGUGGAAUUGCAUUGGAAACUGUCCAACUUGAAUGCAGAAGAGGAAAGCGGAAUUCCAUGUGUGGCGGUGAAAUGCGUAGAUAUAUGGAGGAACACCAGUGGCGAAGGCGGCUUUCUGGUCUGUGAUUGACGCUGAGGCUCGAAAGCGUGGGGAGCGAACAGGAUUAGAUACCCCGGUAGUCCCUGUCUCUUAUAU